rnacentral:rRNA from 1 species
CCCUUAGAUGUUCUGGGCCGCACGCGUGCUACACUGAGUGGAUCAGCGGGUCAGGUUGCGCGAAAGUGUUUCCUAAUCUUGAAAUCCGCUCGUGAUGGGGAUUGACGGUUGCAAUUUUCCGUCAUGAACGAGGAAUACCUUGUAAGCGCGGGUCAUCAUCCCGCGCUGAAUACGUCCCUGCCCUUUGUACACACCGCCCGUCGCUCCUACCGAUUGAGUGGUCCGGUGAGGCUUUGGGAUCUGAGCGGAAAGAGCGUUUCGCUGUUUCUGCUCGGGAAACUCAGUCGAACCUUAUCAUUUAGAGGAAGGAGAAGUCGUAACA